rnacentral:rRNA from 1 species
AUGCCUUUUGGGUUAACUAAUGCGCCUAGUACUUUCAUGAGAUUAAUGAACGAAGUUUUACGUGUUUUCAUUGGACGAUUUGUGGUAGUUUACUUUGAUGACAUAUUGAUUUAUAGCAGAUCUUUGGAGGAACAUUUGGAACAUUUACGUGCUGUUUUUAUUGCUCUACGUGAUGCACGUUUGUUUGGUAACCUUGGGAAGUGCACCUUUUGCACCGACCGAGUAUCUUUUCUUGGCUAUGUUGUUACUCCACAGGGAAUUGAAGUUGAUAAAGCCAAGAUUGAAGCUAUUGAGAGUUGGCCGCAGCCCAAAACGGUCACACAAGUGAGGAGUUUUCUUGGCCUCGCU